rnacentral:rRNA from 1 species
UACGUAGGGGGCAAGCGUUGUCCGGAAUCAUUGGGCGUAAAGCGCGUGUAGGCGGUUCGGUAAGUCUGGUGUGAAAGUCCAGGGCUCAACCCUGGGAUGGCGGUGGAUACUGUCGGACUAGAGUACGGAAGAGGCGAGUGGAAUUCCCGGUGUAGCGGUGAAAUGCGCAGAUAUCGGGAGGAACACCUAUUGCGAAGGCAGCUCGCUGGGACGUCACUGACGCUGAGACACGAAAGCGUGGGGAGCAAACAGG